CUCCUGCAUCCGGGUGCCCGGUGGUUGGGAGCGAAGUGAGCAGAGGUUGGCAAGAGAGAGAAAGGAGAGGUGGUGGUUUGCUAGGCGCUUGGCCUGACGCUGACGUCGCGCUGGCUGAAGGCCUUUUACAGGAUGGAAGUUCGGUGAGGGAGAAAUGGCCUGUACCUGAAACCCCGGAGGGUUGUGAAUGGUCAGGGUGUUUACGAAGCUGGAACGUUGCAUCUGGAGAAACUGGUAGAAGGUAUAGUUGGGUUGUCGGCAGAGGUUGAAGAUCGGAGUGAUCUGGAUGGCGGAGGAGAGGUCUGAUUCCUCUGUCUUGGAGUGUGGGUUGCUGAGCGAGAAGCCCUGCGUCCUCGGCUUGGAGCAGCCGGAUCGAUGAUGGUGUUGGACGGAGAAGUGUCUUUGCUGGAAUCGGAUGGCUGUGAUGAAGCAAUGGUGGGAGAAUUGAAAAGUUCCUCAUCGGAGGGAAAGAUAUCCAGUUCGGACAUCUUUCUGGCUUGAGGGUGGGACCAACUUGUCAGGAGAGUUGUCAUAUGAAGCAGUGAGCACGGGGAGAGCGGCAUAAAUAGAGACACACCGCAAAUAGGAGGGAGAGAGAGCCUGGGCACGACAGACCCGAGCAAGAAGCUAGGAGUUUCUUUACAAAUGUUGAGAGUUUAUUUUUGUGAAGCGGUGUGCGAUUGAUGAUUAACUUUGUGCUGCAGAGAGAGAGAAAAUAAACUAUAACCUGAA